rnacentral:rRNA from 1 species
UACGUAGGGUGCAAGCGUUGUCCGGAAUUAUUGGGCGUAAAGAGCUCGUAGGCGGUUUGUUGCGUCGGCUGUGAAAACCUGAGGCUCAACCUCAGGCCUGCAGUCGAUACGAGCAGACUAGAGUGUUGCAGGGGAGACUGGAAUUCCUGGUGUAGCGGUGAAAUGCGCAGAUAUCAGGAGGAACACCGGUGUCGAAGGCGGGUCUCUGGGCAACAACUGACGCUGAGGAGCGAAAGCGUGGGGAGCGAACAGG